GCAGUAGCCACGGGAAUACGAAGGGUGCAAGCGUUACUCGGAAUUACUGGGCGUAAAGCGUGUGUAGGUGGUUGUUUAAGUCUGUCGUGAAAGCCCUGGGCUCAGCCUGGGAAUUGCGAUGGAUACUGGGCGACUAGAGUGCGGUAGAGGAUAGUGGAAUUUCCGGUGUAGCAGUGAAAUGCGUAGAGAUCGGAAGGAACAUCUGUGGCGAAGGCGACUAUCUGGGCCAACACUGACACUGAGACACGAAAGCGUGGGGAGCAAACAGGAUUAGAUACCCGCGUAGUCCCUGUCUCUUAUAC
rnacentral:rRNA from 1 species